UUGUUUUAAUUACACUUCUGCUGAUUUCAUAUUAUAAAUGAAUUGUGUUUGCCUUAAAAAUUGUUGCUAUAAAUUAGUUAUAAUUCUACUGUAACUAAUUAUAGAAAACUGGACAGAAUGGGUAUGUCAAAAUGCUUUACAAAACAAUAUUAAUAAAUAAUAAUUAAUUAGAUUUAUAGUGCACAUAUUCACUUUAGAAAGUUCCCAAGGCACUAGAGAUGGAACAUGAACUUGCAAGCAUAGAAAUUAACCUAUUAAAUGUCCUAAACUAAGCAGGAAAAACAAAAAAGAAAUCAACAUGUUGAUUCAUAGCUCACAACUAGAGCUCUAAUGGCGCUGUUGUCUGACUGUCCCAGCCUAUUCCACAUGACUAAAAAAAAUUAGAUAAAUAAAAUGGUGGAACUAUUUGGAAGCAACAACUAUCAAUAUGGCAGCCGCGGCGGCGAAAAUGUCGACGACGACAACAACAGUUAACAAUAUUUGUAUAGGACAUGCUAGAAAUCAUUUUUCACUGGGACUUAAAAAAUAAUAUAAUAAUUAUUGAUAAACUACACUAUUAUUAAUAUUAUGAGGUUUUCAAAAGUGUGUACUGUAUAUAGUAUAUAUCAUUACUUUGAUUAUAUGCACAAUUUUAGUAGAAUCGAUUCUCACCAGUAUCAAUAAAGCUUGUUAGCAAAGAUACUAUGGAUUAUACAUAAUAAAUAGCAGCUCAUUUUAAUGAUUAAAUAAUUGAUUUACUUUCAAUGUGAGACAGAUCUAAACACAUUUUCGUUCAACAGAACUUUUACUACUAAAAAAUAUUUAAAUUGAUUCUUGGCCAAUUUUAAUUCCCUACACAAAUAUAGCCUAACAAUGUUUUGUAUUUGUUGGUAACAUAUAUUUCCUUGUUCUAAUUGAAAUCGAAUGCUACUUGAAUGAGUAAGCAAUUCAAAUAUUGGAUUACAUACUCUUCAUUUUUCGUGUACACUGUAUAUUCGUUAAGCACAACACAUACCAUAUCUUAAUAUAUUAAACAAAUUGAAUUUCUUGUCUGGCUAGGUUAGUUGGCAAACAAAGUAAACAAAACAAUGUAUAAACAUUUACUGGCUGAUUGUUAAACUCACCAUUAUUUAAAGAAUUCAUUAUCACCUUUUAACAGAUCUUGUACACAUAGUAAAUUAUGAAAAAGAAAAACACCUUGUCUGGCUAGAUUAUUUUCAUAGAAAAUGAGUAUUAUAAACACAAAUGUAUAAAUUGAACUAUUAUUUUAAAUACAGUAAACGAAUUCAUAUUUCAUAAAAUUUGUGCACUCAAUUCAAAAGUUCCCUACUGUAUAAUAUUAGUAUAUUUUUGACUGGCUAAUACUUAAACUUGUUUUGAAAUCUGAAAUUGCCAUUCACACAUGAUUCAAAA